rnacentral:rRNA from 1 species
CCUACGGGAGGCAGCAGUAAGGGAUAUUGGUCAAUGGGGGAAACCCUGAACCAGCAACGCCGCGUGAGGGAAGACGGUUUUCGGAUUGUAAACCUCUGUCCUCUGUGAAGAUGAUGACGGUAGCAGAGGAGGAAGCUCCGGCUAACUACGUGCCAGCAGCCGCGGUAAUACGUAGGGAGCGAGCGUUGUCCGGAUUUACUGGGUGUAAAGGGUGCGUAGGCGGCUUGGCAAGUCAGUAGUGAAAUCCAUGGGCUUAACCCAUGAACUGCUAUUGAAACUGUCGGGCUUGAGUGAAGUAGAGGUAGGCGGAAUUCCCGGUGUAGCGGUGAAAUGCGUAGAGAUCGGGAGGAACACCAGUGGCGAAGGCGGCCUGCUGGGCUUUAACUGACGCUGAGGCACGAAAGCGUGGGUAGCAAACAGGAUUAGAUACCCUGGUAGUC